rnacentral:snRNA from 1 species
AGCUUUGCAUAGUGGCAGUAUCAUAACCCAUGAGGGUUAUCUGAGGCACAAUUAUUGCUAAUUGAAAACUAGUUUUGUAAGAAACUGAAGCUGUCUUCCAAAAUGGCUGCUCCAUUUUUGCAUCCCCACUAGUGAU